rnacentral:rRNA from 1 species
UACGUAGGGACCAAGCGUUGUUCGGAUUUACUGGGCGUAAAGGGCGCGUAGGCGGUCCGUUAAGUGUAGAGUGAAAGCUCCGGGCUCAACUCGGAAAUUGCUCUGCAUACUGGCGGACUCGAGGACGGAAGAGGUUUGUGGAAUUCCUGGUGUAGCGGUGAAAUGCGUAGAUAUCGGGAGGAACAUCAGUGGCGAAGGCGGCCUUCUGGUCCAGUACUGACACUCAAGUGCGAAAGCGUGGGGAGCAAACAGG